rnacentral:rRNA from 1 species
AACGUACGCUGGCGGCACGCUUAACACAUGCAAGUCGAACGAAGUAGCAAUACUCAGUGGCAGACGGGUGAGUAACAUGUGGGUAUCUGCCCUUUGGCCUGGAAUAACACGAGGAAACUUGUGCUAAUACCGGAUAAGUCUUUACGGAGAAAGCUUUAUGCACCAUUGGAUGAGCCUGCACUUGAUUAGUUUGUUGGCGGGGUAAUGGCCUACCAAGACUGUGAUCAAUAGCUGAUUUGAGAGGAUGAUCAGCCACAUUGGGACUGAGACACGGCCCAAACUCCUACGGGAGGCAGCAGUGGGGAAUCUUGCACAAUGGAGGAAACUCUGAUGCAGCGAUGCCGCGUGAGUGAAGAAGGCCCUUGGGUUGUAAAGCUCUUUCGUCGGGGAAGAAAAUGACUGUACCCGAAUAAGAAGGUCCGGCUAACUUCGUGCCAGCAGCCGCGGUAAUACGAAGGGACCUAGCGUAGUUCGGAAUUACUGGGCUUAAAGAGUUCGUAGGUGGUUGAAAAAGUUAGUGGUGAAAUCCCGGAGCUUAACUCUGGAACUGCCAUUAAAACUUUUCAGCUAGAGUAUGAUAGAGGAAAGCAGAAUUUCUAGUGUAGAGGUGAAAUUCGUAGAUAUUAGAAAGAAUACCAAUUGCGAAGGCAGCUUUCUGGAUCAUUACUGACACUGAGGAACGAAAGCAUGGGUAGCGAAGAGGAUUAGAUACCCUCGUAGUCCAUGCCGUAAACGAUGUGUGUUAGACGUUGGAAAUUUAUUUUCAGUGUCGCAGCGAAAGCGAUAAACACACCGCCUGGGGAGUACGACCGCAAGGUUAAAACUCAAAUGAAUUGACGGGGACCCGCACAAGUAGUGGAGCAUGUGGUUUAAUUCGAAGAUACGCGCAGAACCUUACCAACACUUGACAUGUUCGUCGCGACGCUAAGAGAUUAGAGUUUUCGGUUCGGCCGGACGAAACACAGGUGCUGCAUGGCUGUCGUCAGCUCGUGUCGUGAGAUGUUGGGUUAAGUCCCGCAACGAGCGCAACCCUCACUUUUAGUUGCCAUCAUUUAGUUGGGCACUCUGAAAGAACUGCCAGUGAUAAGCUGGAGGAAGGUGGGGAUGACGUCAAGUCCUCAUGGCCCUUACGUGUUGGGCUACACACGUGCUACAAUGGUAUCUACAACAGGAAGCAAGACUGCGAGGUCAAGCAAAUCCUUAAAAGAUACCUCAGUUCGGAUUGCACUCUGCAACUCGAGUGCAUGAAGCUGGAAUUACUAGUAAUCGUGGAUCAGCGUGCCACGGUGAAUGCGUUCCCGGGUCU